AAUAGAUACCCAGGUAGUCCACGCCGUAAACGAUGGAUACUAGCUGUUGGGGCGACCUCAGUGGCUAAGCGAAAGUGAUAAGUAUCCCACCUGGGGAGUACGUUCGCAAGAAUGAAACUCAAAGGAAUUGACGGGGGCCCGCACAAGCGGUGGAGCAUGUGGUUUAAUUCGAUGAUACGCGAGGAACCUUACCAAGGCUUAAAUGCAGACUGACCGUUUUGGAAACAGAACUUUCGCAAGACAGUCUACAAGGUGCUGCAUGGUUGUCGUCAGCUCGUGCCGUGAGGUGUCAGGUUAAGUCCUAUAACGAGCGCAACCCCUGUUGUUAGUUGCCAGCGAGUAGUGUCGGGAACUCUAACAAGACUGCCAGUGCAAACUGUGAGGAAGUGGGGAUGACGUCAAAUCAUCACGGCCCUUAGCCUUGGGCUACACACGUGCUACAAUGGCCGGUACAGAGAGCAGCCACCUCGCAGGGGGANCGAAUCUACAAAGCCGGUCACAGUUCGGAUCGGAGUCUGC
rnacentral:rRNA from 1 species